rnacentral:rRNA from 1 species
UACGUAGGCAGCGAGCGUUGCUCGGAGUUACUGGGCGUAAAGCGUGCGUAGGCGGUUUUGUAAGUUUGGUGUGAAAGCCCCGGGCUCAACCUGGGAAUGGCAAUGGAAACUGGCGGGCUGGAGUAUGGGCAGAGGAGUCUGGAAUUCCCGGUGUAGCGGUGAAAUGUGUAGAGAUCGGGAGGAACACCGGUGGCGAAGGCGGGACUCUGGGCCUACCCUGACGCUGAGGCA